GAUUUCCACAGCCUCUGUCUUCCCUCUGCACCUGGAUGCUUCAGCCUCUGCAGGACACCCAUUUGAAGGAACCUGUCUAAAUCCAUAGAUGUCCACGAGCUUCAUCUUCCCUCUGCACCUGAGCUUCUUCAGCCUCUGAAGGACACCCAUUCAAAGGAAGCUCUCUAAAACCAUGUAAGAGAUCUCCUCAAGCAUUUUUCCCUGCCCCCAAGCCUCUUCCUCCUCUGCCAGACACCUGUUGCAAGGUAGCUAGCUACCUAAAACUG